rnacentral:rRNA from 1 species
UACGAGGGGUGCAAGCGUUAAUCGGAUUUACUGGGCGUAAAGCGCGCGUAGGCGGCUUGUUAAGUCGGAUGUGAAAGCCCCGGGCUCAACCUGGGAACUGCAUCCGAUACUGGCGAGCUAGAGUACGAGAGAGGGUGGUAGAAUUCCUAGUGUAGCGGUGAAAUGCGUAGAUAUUAGGAGGAAUACCGGUGGCGAAGGCGGCCACCUGGCUCGAUACUGACGCUGAAGUGCGAAAGCGUGGGGAGCAAACAGGAUUAGAUACCCUGGUAGUCCACGCCGUAAACGAUGUCUACUAGCCGUUGGGAGACUUGAUCUCUUAGUGGCGCAGCUAACGCGAUAAGUAGACCGCCUGGGGAGUACGGUCGCAAGACUA